rnacentral:rRNA from 1 species
UAAUAGAUACCCUGGUAGUCCUCGCCCUAAACCAUGACCACUAGGCGUGGGAGGUAUCGACCCCUUCCGUGCCGUAGGUAACCUGUUAAGUGGUCCGCCUGGGGAGUACGGUCGCAAGACUCAAACUCAAAGGAAUUGACGGGGACCCGCACAAGCAGCGGAGCGUGUGGUUUAAUUCGAUGCAACGCGAAGAACCUUACCAGGAUUUGACAUGCCACUGCACCGCCGAGAGAUCGGCGUACCCGCAAGGGACGGUGGCACAGGUGCUGCAUGGCUGUCGUCAGCUCGUGCCGUGAGGUGUCUGGUUAAGUCCCUCUAACGAGCGCAACCCCUACCGUUAGUGUGCAUCUGUCUAGCGGGACUGCCGCGCUAACGCGGAGGAAGGUGGGGAUGACGUCAAGUCAGCACGGCCCUUACAUCCUGGGGCGACACACACGCUACAAUGGUUGGGACAAAGGGAGGCCAACCCGGCAAAGGGGGGAGCCGAAAUCUCACAAACCCCGAGCCUCGAGUUCCGGAUUGCAGGCUGCAACCCGCCUGC